AUGAACGCUAGCGACAGGCUUAACACAUGCAAGUCGAGGGGCAGCACAGGUAGCAAUACCGGGUGGCGACCGGCGCACGGGUGAGUAACGCGUAUGCAACUUACCUAUCAGAGGGGGAUAACCCGGCGAAAGUCGGACUAAUACCGCAUGAAGCAGGGGCCCCGCAUGGGGAUAUUUGCUAAAGAUUCAUCGCUGAUAGAUAGGCAUGCGUUCCAUUAGGCAGUUGGCGGGGUAACGGCCCACCAAACCGACGAUGGAUAGGGGUUCUGAGAGGAAGGUCCCCCACAUUGGUACUGAGACACGGACCAAACUCCUACGGGAGGCAGCAGUGAGGAAUAUUGGUCAAUGGCCGAGAGGCUGAACCAGCCAAGUCGCGUGAGGGAUGAAGGUUCUAUGGAUCGUAAACCUCUUUUAUAAGGGAAUAAAGUGCGGGACGUGUCCCGUUUUGUAUGUACCUUAUGAAUAAGGAUCGGCUAACUCCGUGCCAGCAGCCGCGGUAAUACGGAGGAUCCGAGCGUUAUCCGGAUUUAUUGGGUUUAAAGGGUGCGUAGGCGGCCUUUUAAGUCAGCGGUGAAAGUCUGUGGCUCAACCAUAGAAUUGCCGUUGAAACUGGGGGGCUUGAGUAUGUUUGAGGCAGGCGGAAUGCGUGGUGUAGCGGUGAAAUGCAUAGAUAUCACGCAGAACCCCGAUUGCGAAGGCAGCCUGCCAAGCCAUGACUGACGCUGAUGCACGAAAGCGUGGGGAUCAAACAGGAUUAGAUACCCUGGUAGUCCACGCAGUAAACGAUGAUCACUAGCUGUUUGCGAUACACAGUAAGCGGCACAGCGAAAGCGUUAAGUGAUCCACCUGGGGAGUACGCCGGCAACGGUGAAACUCAAAGGAAUUGACGGGGGCCCGCACAAGCGGAGGAACAUGUGGUUUAAUUCGAUGAUACGCGAGGAACCUUACCCGGGUUUGAACGCAUUCGGACCGAGGUGGAAACACCUUUUCUAGCAAUAGCCGUUUGCGAGGUGCUGCAUGGUUGUCGUCAGCUCGUGCCGUGAGGUGUCGGCUUAAGUGCCAUAACGAGCGCAACCCUUGCCACUAGUUACUAACAGGUGAUGCUGAGGACUCUGGUGGGACUGCCAGCGUAAGCUGCGAGGAAGGCGGGGAUGACGUCAAAUCAGCACGGCCCUUACAUCCGGGGCGACACACGUGUUACAAUGGCGUGGACAAAGGGAGGCCACCUGGCGACAGGGAGCGAAUCCCCAAACCACGUCUCAGUUCGGAUCGGAGUCUGCAACCCGACUCCGUGAAGCUGGAUUCGCUAGUAAUCGCGCAUCAGCCAUGGCGCGGUGAAUACGUUCCCGGGCCUUGUACACACCGCCCGUCAAGCCAUGGGAGCCGGGGGUACCUGAAGUCCGUAACCGCGAGGAUCGGCCUAGGGUAAAACUGGUGACUGGGGCU
rnacentral:rRNA from 1 species